AGGAAGUGAUUCUUGGAAACAAUAUAUGAGACGCUCAACUUGUACAAUCAACUAUGGGAGUGAACUACCAUUGGCUCAAGGAAUCAAUUUUGGCUAGUGAAAUUGGUGCAGAUACACCUGUUUCGCUCUUGAAUUCAUCCUGUAAGGUGCUUAUGAUUGCCCCAGAAUCACUUAAAUAAUGUACCUUCCUUGCAACUCAAUUAAAAUAAUGUUAUUCUGUACCUAGUGUUCUCAAUGAUCAGGACCAGGUUGCCUAAUCUAUGAGUCUACUUGGCUGUUUUACUUUAUUUGAAGAGUUGUUAACCUAAUCUCUCAUAACUAAAACAGAACACUUGAAUUAUUGGCACUAAUAGUCAAC
rnacentral:misc_RNA from 1 species